rnacentral:rRNA from 1 species
GACGAACCUUGCAAGCGUUAUUCGGAAUCACUGGGCUUAAAGGGUGCGUAGGCUGUGCAGAAAGUUGGGUGUGAAAUACCUCGGCUUAACCGAGGAAUUGCGCCCAAAACUACUGUGCUCGAGGAAGAUAGAGGUGAGCGGAACUUAGGGUGGAGCGGUGAAAUGCGUUGAUAUCCUAAGGAACACCGGUGGCGAAAGCGGCUCACUGGAUCUUAUCCGACGCUGAGGCACGAAAGCCAGGGUAGCAAACGGG